GCAUUUCCUGGCUCAACUACAAUACCAGAAUAAACAGUGCUAAAUUUUCCGAUUAUCACAUUCAACUCUGUCAUAUUGCGAAUUUUAACAUACCACAUCACAUAAUUAUCUAUACAAACGACAGAACUCAUGACACAUAAUUUAAUUUGCAUAAGUAAAUUCAAACAGAAUUAGUGUCGCAGAUACUCCUAUAGAGGCUUAAACGUGCAUGGGAUCUUUCCGAGACUAAAACAAAUUAAAUUGGAAAAAGGUGAAAAAAAUCCACAAAAACAAGACCACACAGACAAAAAAAAAACGCAGCAUAUAUGCCACAUUUCUACGUAAAAACCAGCAGCCAUUUAUGUAUAUAUAUAUGCGACACUUGCAUGUAAAACGAAUAGCAGUAAACAAAAUAUAGAAACAAGCAAUAGCAAUUAUAAUAUAUAAGAGGUAAUUCCAUCAAAAUUAGAAACUUAAUACCAUCAACAUUAGCAACUAUAUAUUCAUCUAUCAAAAAAAAAAUUAGUACAGCCUAGAAAAUCUGCACUAAUUGCAUACAUUUUUUUUUCAAUUUCUGAUUUCAAAACUGCCAUAGCUACUAAUUGACAAAUCCUGCUCUUGCCUAAGUCGAUGAAUCAUUUUAACGGAAGAACAUUCAAAUGUAGCCAAAAAUCAACUGCAAGGUCAACAAAUUUGAUCCAUUUCCCAUGACCACAAGCAUAUAAUAUGGGAAAUUAUCUGUAAAACCAAUUGCCAGCAACUAACAAUAAGAAGUAGCAUUAUUCUAAUUACAAUGAAGACAAUCAAUGUGAAGGGAGAAGCAAGUGUACAAAUAUGACUAGGUAGCAACCGCCUAUUAGCGUAGAAAGGACAGUAAAAUAUGGCUUAAGUGCAGCGCGCGCACACACAUACGAAAACAUUUAACGAAGUCUCACACACACACUGAUCACAAAUGAUUAGAACUCACACUUUAAAAACACGAUUCCUAGCCCAAAGAUCGACCGAUUCGUCUACACCAAACCGAGCUGAAAA
rnacentral:lncRNA from 1 species